rnacentral:rRNA from 1 species
GAUGAACGCUGGCGGCGUGCUUAACACAUGCAAGUCGAACGGUGAAGCCUUUCGGGGUGGAUCAGUGGCGAACGGGUGAGUAACACGUGGGCAAUCUGCCCUGCACUCUGGGACAAGCCCUGGAAACGGGGUCUAAUACCGGAUAUGACUUCCUGCCGCAUGGUGGGGGGUGGAAAGCUCUGGUGGUGCAGGAUGAGCCCGCGGCCUAUCAGCUUGUUGGUGGGGUGAUGGCCUACCAAGGCGACGACGGGUAGCCGGCCUGAGAGGGCGACCGGCCACACUGGGACUGAGACACGGCCCAGACUCCUACGGGAGGCUGCAGUGGGGAAUAUUGCACAAUGGGCGGAAGCCUGAUGCAGCGACGCCGCGUGGGGGAUGACGGCCUUCGGGUUGUAAACCUCUUUCAGCAGGGAAGAAGCGUGAGUGACGGUACCUGCAGAAGAAGCACCGGCUAACUACGUGCCAGCCGCCGCCGUAA